CACUUGCUCUUUAUUGAGACUUGUAUGAGUGGAGUUAUGGAGGUUUUUUUAUAAACGGUUUUUUGGCUGAAUUUGAUUUAUCUACGAAAAGUUAGAUUUGUUUUCAAAGACGAGAAGACCCCGAAAUCUUUAUUUUAAAAUAAUGGGUUUUAAUUUUUGUUUGGGGGAAAAGUUAAUUUGUAUUAUUUUCUUUUUUAGUGUGAACUUUGUUAGGUUAAAUGGAUAGAUACUUCGGGGUUAACAGGAUAAUUUUCUUUUGAAGUUCUUAUUUUAGAGGGAGAUUGUUACCUCGAUGUUGGCUUUUGAA
rnacentral:rRNA from 1 species